rnacentral:lncRNA from 1 species
GGCCUAUGGCCGCGCACAUUGGACGCUGGACAAUGGAGGGAAGUUUUCAGAUCAAGGACAUCUGAAAAUAGAAAAGAAAAAACUAUUGGAAAAAGGAACAUGAUUAAAGGUGAUAAAGUGCAAUCAGUGCAGAAGGAAAGACACUGUGCUUCCCUAAACUCCAGAUGAAUCUUCAAAACAUUAGGAAGAUGGGCAGCCAAUUCAGCACCCUGAAGGUUCAGCAUUCAGUUGGGGUCAGAUAGAAGGUCAAUUUCACAUCCUCCUAUUUUAUCUGUGAUCUUCUGUGGCAUACAGCAUCUCCCAGGCGUGUCAGACAGCUGUGGCUCAGAGUUUGCUAUUUCUUCAGUAAAAAGACCAAUGAUCUGGGGCACGUGGCUCAGUUGGUUAAGCGUCCGGCUUCCGGCUUCGGCUCAGGUGAUGAUCUCACGGGUUCGUGGGUUUGAGCCCUGCGUCAGGUCCUGUGCUGACAGCUAACUCAGAGCCUGGAGCCUGCUUUGGAUUCUGUGUCUCCCUCUCUCUCUGACCCUCCCCUGCUUGUGCUGUCUCUCUCUCUCAAAAAUAAAUAAAAAAACAUUAAAAAAAAAAG